CCCUUAGAUGUUCUGGGCCGCACGCGCGCUACACUGAUGCGUUCAGCGAGUAUAUAACCUUGAUUGGAAAAUCUGGGUAAUCUUUUGAAUGCGUAUCGUGCUAGGGAUAGAUUAUUGCAAUUAUUAAUCUUGAACGAGGAAUUCCUAGUAAACGCAAGUCAUCAGCUUGCAUUGAUUACGUCCCUGCCCUUUGUACACACCGCCUGUCGCACAAACCGAUUGAAUGAUUCGGUGAAAAUUUUGGACAUCGAGAGUGGUGAUUAAUUUCGCUGCUCUUAAAUGGAAAGAAUUUAAACCUAAUUAUUUAGAGGAUUGUGAAGUCAUAACA
rnacentral:rRNA from 1 species